UUUCCGUAGGUGAACCUGCGGAAGGAUCAUUAAUGAAUAUUCGGGGGUUGAUGCUGGUCCUUUAUUGGGCAUGUGCUCACCUCUGUCAUUAUCCAUACACCUGUGCACCUUUGAGGGCUUUUCCGUUCAGGAAUUGUCCCUCUAAAUUUACAAACCCCUUUGUAAACAUUGAACGUGAUUGUGCCGAAAGGCCUUAUAUUUACAACUUUUAACAACGGAUCUCUUGGCUCUCGCAUCGAUGAAGAACGCAGC
rnacentral:misc_RNA from 1 species